ensembl:lncRNA
GACCUCUGCCUUCAUCUUCACCUGGUAUUUCCCCGUGUCUCUCUGUCCAGUUUUUCUUUUCUUCCAGGAACACCAGUUGUGUUGGAUUCAAUCCCUCCCUAAUGACCUCACUGUAGCUUGACAGUGUCUGUGAAAGCCCUAUCGCUGAAUAAGGUCCCUUUCUGAGGUCCUGGGGGUUAGGACCCCAACAUGUCUUUCUCCAGAGGACACAGUUCAAACCAUGAACUCCCAGGGACUCCGUGGUCAGGGUCUCAGGAGGAAGGUGGUGCUGCAAACAGAUGGUGGGGGUCCUCUCUUCGUGAGGCCUCAAGUCCUCUAGUGUGGUCUCCCUGACAUGGAGUUUGGGGUCCCUUGUUGAGUGGCUGCCAAAAACUUCAAGAGCAGCAGGGUAGGAUCCUCGCCUGUAUGACCUCUGCAUCCUCCAGUGGGCGAGACGUCAGUCACACAUGCUGAGUCUAGGGGUGGGCAGUCGAUCCCCCUGUGACGGGCAGCGCGUCACAGUCACGUGUGGGAUGGGGGCACAGCGUCCAUGGAGGAGGCCACAGGACACAGGGCAGAACAGGAAGCAGACAUGUGGCUGGUGCUGAUGGCUAGAAGGCUAGAAACUGGGCACCUGGGCCCUGGGAGGAGCCGCGAAGGCUCACAGAGGAGCAGAGGCUGCGACCUGACGGGGUGAGCAGCCGUAAGCGUGACAAGGGGCGGGGUGCAGGCAGGCGCAGUGGAGGGUCUGUCUGUGCCCCUGGCCGGCAUGUGGGAGAAAGCGUGCAAGGUUCUGUGGGAAGCUGGGGGUCCACAGGCCAAGAGCGCUCUGCCAGCCCUUGAACAACAUCACAAGCUCCCCCCGUAUGCAGACCUCGAACACGGGCAGUAGAUUCCAUCUGAUAUUUAAUCCAGACUAACAAGAGACUGUCUUGCCACACUUGGGGCCCCCGCUCUGGUUCUGCUGCAGCCACUAUCUUAAACUGUAUUUGUCUCCACCAGAGAUCAGCAAGCUUUCUCUGUUCUUCCAUCAUUUCCCCUUUGGAUUGCAAGUCUUUCAGUAGAAAGC